rnacentral:lncRNA from 1 species
AUUCCAGGUUUCUGGUACCUGCCAUCAGCCUUGGAAUAAAUAAAGGAGUCUUUCCCCUUUGGAAUGAGAUUUCUCUAUGACAAAUAGAUUUAUAUUCUGCUGGAAUGAUAGCUACAGCUUGAAUAUGCGUGGCCAACGUUCUAUGGGCCCCAAUGAUGUCAAACAAAUCUCUACGCGGUGCUCACCCUAAAGGUGAUGAGAGUCUUCUAGGACUGUCAGAAAUUCUACUAAAAGAAGGGCCUGAUUCACCAGACUCUCCACUUCUCCAUGGCAUGCUUAGGAUCAGAAAUGAACUCCCUGAACGUUUUAUAAUUCCAGAAAUAAAUUCAGAGAUCAAGAUACCACCUCCUUUCUAAUUUGGGAGAAUAAAAACUAC